rnacentral:lncRNA from 1 species
GGAAGAUUCACCCUGAGCCAACAUCCAUUGCCAAUACUCCUCUUUUUUGCUUGAGGAAGAUAAGCUCUGAGCCAACAUCUGUGCCAAUCCUCUUCUACCUUGCAUGUGGGAUGCCUCCACAGCAUGACUGAUGAGUGGAGUAGGUUUGUACCUGGGAUCCGAACCCAGGAACCUUGGGCCACAGAAGCGGAGCACAUGGAACUUUAACCACUCUGCCACCAGGCUAGCCCCCAAGGUUUAACUGAAAGCAAGUUUCGUGGCACUGACUUAUUAAAAGUAAGAAAUGGAUCUUCUCAGUCAAUUGGAAUCAAUUCGAAUCGGUUUUUGAAGAAAUGAAAUUCCUGGGAUAUUAUCAAUGAUACACCCAGAAAGAUGUAUCCAGCGUACAUUGUCUUCAAUUUUUAUAACAUUGCUGUGAUUCCUGUCUUGUCCUAAUGAUUCAAAGAAUGAGUUUGUUCUAGCUUUAUACAAAUGAAUUCUGCGUUCCGCUCAUGAUGAAACAGAGAGCAAAAGUGAUCCGAAUGUAUUACUAAAGUACUUUAUAUCUGCAAAUUACCUUAUACUUGUUAUUCUUGGC